CCUGCUUCCCUCAAAGGGCGAUGUGCAGCACUGCCUCCCAGCAGCACAGCCCUCUGGCAGAGCUGACGUUUCCAUUUUGGCAAACUGCUUGGGAUGCACUUUCUCCACAGCUUGAAAUCUGAGCAUAAUGCUAUCUUCACGAACCAUAUUCACCAGCCUGAUAAUGUGACAUAACAGAAGCACCCUGCUGACAUUUUCCAGCUAUUCCCGAAACAAUGGUGAGGGUGGGAAUGCUGUGAGCAGGCAGAGCUGUGAAGAAGGUUUUUCCUGUGUGGCUGCUGCUGCAUCUUGCUGCUCUGGGAUGGUGCAGGCUGUGCUUGAGCCCAGGACACUGGCAUGGCCAAGGACAAGGAUGGCACCAGGUUGCAAGGACGGAUUCUCUGGAAACGAAUCCCUUUGGGUGAGCUCUCCAUCAGCACGUGCUUCUCGGCAGGAAAAAAACCUGGAGCGGUGUGUAGUUUCAGCUUAAUUACUGCCAAGGCAAGAACAUUGCCUUCUUGCCAGAGGCUUGCUUUCAUCCCUGCUCAGACAUCACACGGUUACUGUUGGCAGAACUGUGGAAACACUUGGAACUUUGCUAUGAUAAAUAUGUCUUGGUAACCAGGAAUGCAG
rnacentral:lncRNA from 1 species